UUCCAGAAUGCAUGAGAUGCAUAUUCACAGUGCUGAAAGGCAGAACUCAACUAAGAAUUCUUUAUCUGCCAAAACUGCCCUUCAGAAAUGAAGAAGAAAUGAGACAAUCUUUGCACGUAAAAAGCAAGAGAAUUUGUCAGCAGUUGAUCUGCCUACAACAAAUGCUUCAGGAUGAAAUGAAAGAACACUGGACUUGAAUCUAUAUAAAAAUUAAAGAACAUGGGUAAAGUCCCAUAGGUUGACUCAGCGCUGGCAAGAUGGUCCUUAGAAAAAGGAAGUCUUUCAAAGAUCACUUGCAUCACUUCUCUCCACUUUUCAGGAGUCCUGCUGUUUUCCUUCAUCCAGCAUAUAAUUUUUGAAUAGGUUAAUGAAGUGAGAUCUUUUCACCAUUCUAAUUCUGCAUAAAAAAUAAGUAAAUAAAAGAGUGGGCUUACCAUUAUUAGUCAAUAGGAAAUGCAAAUUAAAACCAUAGUGAGAUACCCCUACAUAUGCACCACAAUGGUUAGUAUUAAAUGGUUGGACAAUACAUAGUGUUGGCAAGGAUAUGAAACAACUGGAAUUCUUAAUGUUGGUGGGAGUGUAAACUAGUAUAGCCACUUGGGAAAACUAUUUGUUAUAGCAAAUAUGCUGUUGCAGAAUUUUUUACCAGAGUUUGUUGUCUCCUGCUUUGAAGAAUGAAGAGGUCAACACAACUAAAAUCAGCAGGCAAAACUUUAUUAGAGUAUAAGAUCAGAAAGUAAGAAUAGUAUGAAAGCUCUUUUUAUACAAAAGGGGCAUUCGAAAGUGAAUGCCCGCAACUGUAGGCAAGGGACUUUGUUUUAUGGGGUUUUCUCGGCCCCGUUCCUUCCCCCUCGUUCCUUCUCAGGCUCUACCCUUAUUGGCUUGAUAAUUUUAGGUGCUGGCUUGUCCAUUCCUGAUUGACUUGAUUCCAUUAUGUGAGGAGUCAGACUAUGGUCCUACCAUCUCACAUAUAACCUGGAAGCAAAACCAAAUGCUUAUCAACAGGAGAACAGAUAAUGUGGUGUCUUCAUGCAGUGAGCUACAGACUACUCUGCAAGAAAAAGGGCUAAGGGCAAACUGCUGAUACACAAAUGUUGAAUCUCACAAAUAGGCUUUGCAUAAAAAGCUAGACACAAAAGAAUAUAUAAUUUAAGUUUCCAUUUGUAUAAAGUUCAAAAAUCAGGUAAAACUGAUCUAUAUAAUAAGUAGAAUACCAUUUAUCUUAUGGGCACUGACUGACAUGUCGCACAAAAGAGCCAGUUUAGAGGCUGAGAAUGUUCCCUGUCUUGUUCUGGAUGUUGGUUCCAUGAGUAUAUACAUAAAAAUUUUAAUUAAAUGCUGAAAAAAGGUUGCUAUUCUUGAAGUUCUGUUUGUACUUUAUGUUAUGUGAGAUAGCUUAAGAUCUUGAAAUAUGUAUCAUUACUCUGUCCGUGUUGUUCAAAUCAGGGAUAAAUAAAACUAUGUAAUUAAAUCA